rnacentral:rRNA from 1 species
UACGUAGGGUGCAAGCGUUAAUCGGAAUUACUGGGCGUAAAGCGUGCGCAGGCGGUUGUGCAAGACCGAUGUGAAAUCCCCGGGCUUAACCUGGGAAUGGCAUUGGCGACUGCACGGUUAGAGUGUGUCAGAGGGGGGUAGAAUUCCACGGUGUAGCAGUGAAAUGCGUAGAGAUGUGGAGGAAUACCGAUGGCGAAGGCAGCCCCCUGGGAUAACACUGACGCUCAUGCACGAAAGCGUGGGGAGCAAACAGG